GCGUGUCCGCGUCCAUAUCUUUGUCAUCGAUGGAUGGAUUCAAAUAACUUGGCAUGAAUGUGUACCACAGUAAGACGACGUGCAGUGCACAAGACACAGGUCCGUAGCUCAAAGGUCAAGGUCACACUUAGACGUUAAAGAUCAUUU
rnacentral:lncRNA from 1 species